UACAGAGGGUGCGAGCGUUAAUCGGAAUUACUGGGCGUAAAGCGCGCGUAGGCGGCUUUGCAAGUCGGGUGUGAAAUCCCCAGGCUUAACCUGGGAACUGCAUUCGAGACUGCAUUGCUAGAGUAUGGGAGAGGGAAGUGGAAUUUCCGGUGUAGCGGUGAAAUGCGUAGAUAUCGGAGGGAACAUCAGUGGCGAAAGCGACUUCCUGGACCAAUACUGACGCUCAUGUGCGAAAGCGUGGGGAGCAAACAGG
rnacentral:rRNA from 1 species